rnacentral:rRNA from 1 species
UACAGAGGGUGCGAGCGUUAAUCGGAGUUACUGGGCGUAAAGGGCGCGUAGGCGGUGAGAUGAGUGUGAUGUGAAAGCCCCGGGCUUAACCUGGGAAGUGCAUCGCAAACGAUCUGACUGGAGUAUAAGAGAGGGUGGCGGAAUUUCCGGUGUAGCGGUGAAAUGCGUAGAGAUCGGAAGGAACGUCAAUGGCGAAGGCAGCCACCUGGCUUAAUACUGACGCUGAGGCGCGAAAGCGUGGGGAGCGAACAGG